rnacentral:rRNA from 1 species
AGCGAACGCUGGCGGCAGGCCUAACACAUGCAAGUCGAACGAACUCUUCGGUUUUAGUGGCGGAAGGGUGGGUAACACGUGGGAACGUGCCUUUUGGCUCGGCAUAACUCAUGGAAACUUGUGCUAAUACCUAAUGUGCCCUUCGGGGGAAAGAUUUAUCGCCAUUAGAGCGGCCCGCGUCUGAUUAUCUAGUUGGUGAGGUAACGGCUCACCAAGGCGAAGAUCAGUAGCUGGUCUGAGAGGAUGACCAGCCACACUGGGACUGAGACACGGCCGAGACUCCUACGGGAGGCAGAAGUGGGGAAUCAGGAGCAAUGGGCGAAAGACUGACGCAGCCAGGCCGCGUGAAUGAGGAAGGACGUAGGAUUGUAAAAUUGUUUCACCGGGGACGAUAAUGACGGUACCCGGAGAAGAAGCCCCGGCUAACUUCGUG